CAUCAUUCAAACUAAACUGCCGAAAGUUUUGGGAUACGAUUCUGGGAUCAACGUUCCUUAUAAACCUUUCUCGUAAUCAUUUAUGAAUUCCGUUUACGCUUAUCCCGUUAUCACCACCGAUCACCACUUACCAUCCACCGUGAACCACCGUGAUCACCUUGUUCGUCGAAGCUUUCCGUCGUGCCACCGGUUGCGUCACGACCAGCUAUUCAGGAGCAGCCGCAUCCAAUGUCGUGAUAACCACCACACCUCCGUUCGAUCGUCCGCACCACCACACAACCUUACCGCCAAGAGCCGUUCGCCACCGCACCAUCGUUCGAAGUUAUUUUGUUUGUUCCGUUCGACGCCGCGGUUGCCAUAUUCAUCUGUUGUCUCCAGAUUUUCGGUUUGACACAGCCACCGCACCGUUCAGGUUCUUGAUUUUUCAAGGUCGACUUGAUUAAGUGGUUUUGCUUUGCUUGCUAAUUAAGGUAAUUUGGGGAAACAUGGGGAAUAAGUGAAGAGUGUUCUGAAGAUAAAGAUAUUUUUUUUUAUUUCGGUGAUGUAAUGAAAAUGUAAUUAGGAUCUUUGUUUUCAACGUUAUGGAUAGGUUUUAGUUUUGAUAUCUGUAUGGUGACAUGCCAGCCCGUUCUGGGUUGGGGUGUUACACCUCGUCAGCCACAACAUUGUUAUUCAUAAAAAAAAUAUUAUGCCAUGAAAUGUGCAUGUUUUUAAAUACAUAAAAACUUGUGACCCAACAUUGUCACUAUCUCUCUCAUCAAAUUUAAAUUGGGCGACAUGGUUGUCCAAAUCGCUCGCACUUCGCUCGACGCUCGCUCGGAAUUUU